GCAAACUUGGUCAUUUAGAGGAAGUAAAAGUCGUAACAAGGUCUCCGUAGGUGAACCUGCGGAGGGAUCAUUGAUGAACGAACGGCCUCGAGGGAGCUCGAGGCCUUCAACCCCCCUUCAAACACUGUGGAAACAAAAAGUGCUUCGGCGCGUUCGUUCGCGCCGCUUUUACACAGAUCUUUGUGCCUUUAACUGGUCUGAUUCUAUUCACCCAUUGAGGUUUUUAAAACUUUCAACAAAGGAUCUCUUGGCUCUCGCAUCGAUGAAGAACGCAGC
rnacentral:misc_RNA from 1 species